rnacentral:tRNA from 2 species
GGAGGGGUGUCCGAAUGGCUAAGGAACCGGUCUUGAAAACCGGCGCGCGCAAGCGUAUGUGGGUUCGAGUCCCACCCCCUCCG